GUGGGUCAAGAGGGGGAGAGAGGGAACGUGUGAAAGGAGAAUUUGAAUAUUGGUGUCAAAUGUCUGAAGAGCAGCGUAUCCGGCCUCUGCGAUCAGGGCAGGAAGAUGCCGGAGCGUCUGUGGCUGCUUCUCACUCUCCUGACCCUCCCGCACUAUGGGCGCUCUCAGACUCUCCACCAGACCCCCCGAUUCAUUUCUCUGCCCCCCGGCUCCUCUGUCCAGCUGCACUGCUACCUGCAGGGAUACAGUUCAACCCCCUGGAUGUACUGGUACCGGCAGCCUCCCCAGGGUGGAGCCCUGCACAUGCUCUUUCUCUCCAGAGGGAAGGAUUUGAUUGACCACAGUUCGGAGAGACACUUUCGGGCUGCCCGACCGACCGAGCAGAACUUCUCACUGAGCACAGACGGCCUCUUCCCCAACGACACGGGGCUGUAUUACUGCGCCUGGAGCCGCACACUGAGCCAAGCAGGUGCAGCCCCUGGACAAAAACUCUGCCUCCCCGCCCCGCUGUGAGGAGCUGAGCUGAGAUCAGGUUUCACCCACUAGCUCAGUCCCCUGCCCUGUCCCUUCCCACAGACACCGUGAGUCAGAGCCCCAGCUUCUCCCUUCGUUCCUUGAAGCGGAACAUCUGUGUCAUGUUUCAUCACAGCUAUUAGCGAUGGAAGAGAUAUCUGAGGCCUCAUCUGAUCCAAGCCCUUUCCAGCCACUGCAGGAUUAUUCCCUGUGGUGUAUUCACCAGCCUAGGUACAAAUGGACAUUAUUUUCUCCCUCCAGGGGGACUACUGCCUUUCUAACACACACCUCGCCUUCAGGGAAAAUUUCCCAUUUCUCCAG